rnacentral:rRNA from 1 species
GUAGGGUGCGAGCGUUGUCCGGAAUUAUUGGGCGUAAAGGGCUUGUAGGCGGUUUGUCGCGUCUGCCGUGAAAUCCUCUGGCUUAACUGGGGGCGUGCGGUGGGUACGGGCAGGCUUGAGUGCGGUAGGGGAGACUGGAACUCCUGGUGUAGCGGUGGAAUGCGCAGAUAUCAGGAAGAACACCGGUGGCGAAGGCGGGUCUCUGGGCCGUUACUGACGCUGAGGAGCGAAAGCGUGGGGAGCGAACAGGAUUAGAUACCCUGGUAGUCCACGCUGUAAACGUUGGGCACUAGGUGUGGGGGCCCACCCCGUGGUUUCUGCGCCGUAGCUAACGCUUUAAGUGCCCCGCCUGGGGAGUACGGCCGCAAGGCUA